UACGUAGGGACCGAGCGUUGUCCGGAUUCAUUGGGCGUAAAGAGCUCGUAGGCGGCUGCUCAAGUCGAAUGUGAAAACUCGAGGCUCAACCUCGAGCCUGCAUUCGAUACUGGGCGGCUAGAGUCUGGUAGGGGGAUCUGGAAUUCCUGGUGUAGCGGUGGAAUGCGCAGAUAUCGAGAGGAACACCAGUGGCGAAGGCGAGUCCCUGGAAAACACCUGACACUGAGGCACGAAAGCUAGGGGAGCAAACAGG
rnacentral:rRNA from 1 species